GUGGUUUGGGGUUAUUCUUUUUGUGCCUCUGCUACAUGGUGUUGAAACCAUUUUUACCAACCCCCUGGAAAAAUAAAGGACAUCCAAAAGAAGAAAGAUAUCCUCGCUCCUUCCAAACAGCCCCAUGAGCAUGCACCACCAUAAAGGAGCAAGGGGAACGCAAAAGAAGACAUCUUUUAAGUCUAUCACUGACAACCAAGCAAAAUUGCCAGAUAGAGCAGUGAGAAGAGUAUAAGGAUUAGGUGCUGCUGCAGGUGAAUGUCUUCCACUAUCUGGUUUAUUGCUCUCAGAACCCGAACAAACCAAUAUUCCUGAGUUCCAAGUUUUUGAACUGGCAAAAUGGGAGCGUUAUAAGGAGAUCGACAAGGCCAAAAAAUUUGUAUUUUAAAAAGGCCGCAAUGAGGGGUUGAAGGCCCUCCCUAGCUUGAAGCUUUAAUGGAUACUGCUUGGGUCGAGGGGGAGAAAUUCCCGGUUUUAUCUUGAUAUGAACCGGGUCCACGGAUGUCCUUUCGGCUUGUCCGGCAGCCCAUACCUCAGGGUUGACCUGAUUGAGGGCUGCAGCAAGGAGCCCUUGAGGGACAGCCAAAGGGGCAAGCGGAGCUGCUUGCAAGGCACAGCCGUGUUCUGGGGGGACUACAACAUGCACUUGUUUAUACUGCAAGGUCACUUGAGCCUGCAAUUUAGAGAGAAGGUCUCUACCCAGCAAUGAGAUAGGGCACUCAGGCACACACAGAAAGCUGUGUGUAAGGAAAGAAUCCCCAAUAGCACAAUCCAGUGGCUGGAGAAAAAUAUUUUGGGGAAGGUUCUCUGGAAACCCCAGUCACCAACAUUGGGUCUUUAGUAAGCUUAGCCAAUUUAAGGUUUGAAACUGAGUGAGUUGCACUAGUAUCAAUCAGGAAAAUCAGUUUUUCUCCCACUUUUACGGUCACCCUGGGCUCCUGGUGGGAGAUAUUAAUCACUGGCUGUAAUUUCCAUGGAUUCUGGGGAGUCCUAGGGACCCCUCAUUCCAUGUCUUCUGCAUUCAGCCCCAUCAACUGUACAGUAAGUUCCUCAUCACUCUUGUUGUGACUUAGGACAAUCCUUCCUCCACUGACCUAUUUUCUUGUGGUAAGCACAUUGGUCCUUUUUAAAGGAAAUUUUUCCUCUUAAUCUUUUUCCUCUGUGGGGCAGUGGUCCCUGUUGAGGGGACUACCUAGAGUUUUCCACCAGAACUGUUGACAAAAGUUUUGCCUGUUGUUUCAUUUCAUAUACCUUUCUUUUUUUCCUUUGCUUUUCUUUGGUCUGUUCACAGUUUAUAAAGACCAUAUAAGCCACUUCAAUUAAAUGAGAUAUGGGCAAAGUGAGAAAUCUCUCUAAUUUCUGUAACUUCUGCUGGGUAUCAGGAAUGCUCUGGCCAACCAAGGUCAUGUUAAUUAACCUUGAAUUAUCAGGACCUUCUGGAUCUCUAUCAGUAUAUUUCUGAUAUGUUUCCAUAAUCCUUUCUGGG